UACGUAGGGGGCGAGCGUUGUCCGGAAUCAUUGGGCGUAAAGCGCGUGUAGGCGGCCCGGUAAGUCCGCUGUGAAAGUCCAGGGCUCAACCCUGGGAUGCCGGUGGAUACUGUCGGGCUCGAGUCCGGAAGAGGCGAGUGGAAUUCCUGGUGUAGCGGUGAAAUGCGCAGAUAUCAGGAGGAACACCAAUGGCGAAGGCAGCUCGCUGGGACGUGACUGACGCUGAGACGCGAAAGCGUGGGGAGCAAACAGG
rnacentral:rRNA from 1 species